CCUACGGGCGGCAGCAGUGAGGAAUAUUGGUCAAUGGGCGGGAGCCUGAACCAGCCAAGCCGCGUGAGGGAAGAAGGUACAGCGUAUCGUAAACCUCUUUUGUCAGGGAACAAAGGCGGGGACUAGUCCCCGGAUGAGGGUACCUGAAGAAAAAGCAUCGGCUAACUCCGUGCCAGCAGCCGCGGUAAUACGGAGGAUGCGAGCGUUAUCCGGAUUUAUGGGGGUUAAAGGGUGCGCAGGCGGCCUGUUAAGUCAGCGGUAAAAGCCCGGGGCUCAACCCCGGCGAGCCGUUGAAACUGGCGGGCUGGAGUUGGAGAGAAGUACGCGGAAUGCGCGGUGUAGCGGUGAAAUGCUUAGAUAUCGCGCAGAACCCCGAUUGCGAAGGCAGCGUACCGGCUCCACACUGACGCUGAGGCACGAAAGCGUGGGUAUCGAACAGGAUUAGAUACCCCAGUAGUC
rnacentral:rRNA from 1 species